UUUUUUUUAUUACUACAAGUAAAUAUUCGUUAAAAGCGCAAAAUCACUUAUUGUGACUAAAAUAUUCUUUUGGUCUAAAAAAAAUGGACCGGGUUUGGGUGACUUUCAAAUGUGAUAACUUUGAUGACUUUAGUGUUAAUGAAAGAUAUGUAAAUGAUUGAAAUAAAAAUUAAGAAUGAUUAGGAUUUUAAAUUGCACCUAAAUCACCAAAGUCACCAUUUUUC
rnacentral:lncRNA from 1 species